CGAAAAAAUAGUUUAAUACUUAAAACAUAACACUGAAAAUGUUAAGUUGAUGCAGUCUUUUUUCAU
rnacentral:tRNA from 1 species